CAGGUGGUUCGGGGAUGUCCAGGAGGUGGUUCCGGUGAGUCCGGCACGUGGUCUGGCACGUCUGAGUGGUGGUUCCAGCAUGCCCAGCAUGUGAUUCCGGAUGUCCGCCAAGUGGUUUUUGUGGACCCGGCAGGUGAUAUUGGCGUGUCCGGCAGGUGGUUCAGGCGAGUCGUGCAGGUGGUUCCGGCAUGCUGGACAGAUGGUUCAGGCAUGAGCUGCAGGUGGUUCUGGUGUGUCUGGAGGUGGUUCCGGCCUGUCUGGCACGUGGUUCUGGCACGUCUGAGAGUUGGUUCCUUCAUGCCCGGCAAGUGAUACCAGAGUGUCCGAAAAGUGGUUCUGGCAUAGCAGGCAGGUGAUGUUGGCAUGUCUGGCAGGUGGUUCCGGCGAUUUGAGCAGGUGGUUUCGGCAUUUUCGGCAGGAGUUUCCGGUCUGUCCAGGAGGUGGUUCCAGCGUGUCCGGCACGUGGUUCUGGCACAUCUGAGACGUGGCUCCGGCAUGACCGGCAGGUGAUUCCAUUGUGUCCGCCUAGUGGUUCUUGCCUAGCCAGCAGGUGAUUUUGGUGUGUCCGGCCCUUGGUUCCGAUGAGUCGAGCAGGUGGUUCCGGUGUGCUGGGCAUCAGGUUCUGGUCUGUUGGCAAGGUAGUUCCGGCGUGUCUGGCACGUGGUUCUGGCACGUCUGAGAGGAGGUUCCGGCAUGCCCGGCUGGUGAUUCCAGAGUGUCUGCCACAUGUUUCUGGCAUAACCGCGAGAGGAUUUUGGCGUGUCCGGCAGGUGGUUCGGGCGUGCUCAGCAGGUGGUUCAGGCAUUUCUGGAAGGUGGUUCCGAUCUGUCCGGGAGUUGGUUCCGGCAUGUCCAGCACAUGGCUCUGGCAUGUCUGAAGGUGUUUCUGGAACGAUGGGCAGGUCAUUCUGGACUGUCCGCCACGUGCUUCUGGCAUAGCUGGCAGGUUAUUUUGGCGUGUCCGGCAGGUGGUUCUGGCGAGUGGAUCAGGUGGUUCUGGCGUGCUCGGCAGGUGGUUCAGGCAUGUGCGGCAGGUGAUUCCGGUCUGUCUGGAGGUGGUUCCGCCGUGUCCGGCAUGUGGUUCUGGCACGUCUGAGAGGUGGUUACAGCAUGCCCAGCUGGUGAUUUCAGAGUGUCCGCCAAGUGGUUCUGGCGUACUGGCAGGUGAUUUUGGUGUGUCUAGAAGGUGGUUCCGGUGUUUCCGGGAGGUGGUUCCGGCGUGUCUGGCACGUGGUUCUCGCACAUCUGAGAGGUGGUUCCGGCAUGCCCAGCAGGUGGUUCCGGAUUUUCCGCCAAGUGUUUCUGGCGUAGUCAGCAUGAGAUUUUGGCGUGUCCGGCAUGUGGUUACGGUGAGUUGAGCAGCUGGUUCCGGCGUUCUCGACAGGUGGUUCCGGCGUGUCAUGCAGGUGGUUCUGGUCCUUCCUGUAGGUGGUUUAGGCGUGUCCUGCACGUGGUUCUGUCACGGCUUAGAUGUGGUCCCGGGAUGCCCGACAGGUGAUUCCGGACUGUCCGCCACUUGGUUCUGGCGUUGCCGGCAGGUCACUUUGGCGUGUCCGGCAGGUGGUUCCGGCAAGUGGAGCAGGUUGUUCUGGCAUGCUCGGAAAGUGGUACCGGUCUGUCCUGGAGGUGGUACCAGUGUGUCCGGCACGUGGUUUUGGC
rnacentral:lncRNA from 1 species